rnacentral:rRNA from 1 species
UACGUAGGGGGGCAAGCGUUGUCCGGAUUUAUUGGGCGUAAAGAGCGUGUAGGCGGCUGGGUAGGUCCGCUGUGAAAACUCGAGGCUUAACCUCGAGACGUCGGUGGAAACCAUCCAGCUAGAGUCCGGAAGAGGAGAGUGGAAUUCCUGGUGUAGCGGUGAAAUGCGCAGAUAUUAGGAAGAACACCCGUGGCGAAAGCGGCUCUCUGGGACGGUACUGACGCUGAGACGCGAAAGCGUGGGGAGCGAACAGG